rnacentral:rRNA from 1 species
GACGAACGCUGGCGGCGUGCCUAAUACAUGCAAGUAGAACGCUGAAGGAGGAGCUUGCUUCUCUGGAUGAGUUGCGAACGGGUGAGUAACGCGUAGGUAACCUGCCUGGUAGCGGGGGAUAACUAUUGGAAACGAUAGCUAAUACCGCAUAAUAGUAGAUGUUGCAUGACAUUUGCCUAAAAGGUGCAAUUGCAUCACUACCAGAUGGACCUGCGUUGUAUUAGCUAGUUGGUGGGGUAACGGCUCACCAAGGCGACGAUACAUAGCCGACCUGAGAGGGUGAUCGGCCACACUGGGACUGAGACACGGCCCAGACUCCUACGGGAGGCAGCAGUAGGGAAUCUUCGGCAAUGGACGGAAGUCUGACCGAGCAACGCCGCGUGAGUGAAGAAGGUUUUCGGAUCGUAAAGCUCUGUUGUAAGAGAAGAACGAGUGUGAGAGUGGAAAGUUCACACUGUGACGGUAUCUUACCAGAAAGGGACGGCUAACUACGU